AAAGACAUUCAAAGCUCAGGAGCAUAUUGCGAAAAAUGCUUUAGUAUUUCCAAAUAUUUUUAAAAUUCAUUUUUCAGGAUGUUGAAACACUAAUAUUACCUCCCGUAAUUGCUCUUGAGCAAUAUGGUGCUGGUUGAAAAGCUUCAUGAUUUAGCAAUAAUUAAUAGUAAUAUAUUUCCAUACCCUGGGUAUCAACAUCUUUGACGAUCUACCCUGGACCCAACAUAUCAAGGCAGCUACAAAGAAGGUUUGCUGAGUAUGCUGCAGGAAGAAGAUUCUCUGGGUUGUAUGUGGUGACAUGAAGCCACAAAACACGGAACCCAAAAGAGCCCAUUUAAACAAAGAAGACUGGCAAACAAUAUAACCAGGGACUCGAAGCCUUUGCUUUGAUGAAUCACUUAAUUCAGCCAAGGAGACGUGAGCUAUUGCUGCUUUGCUCUUGUGAGUAAGGUUACAUUAGGACCUAGAUUAGUGCUGAAAUCUGAGUGUCAAUUUCAAAACAAGUUUUACAUCCUUUGUCUACAGUCUUUGAAGUGCUGACAAGUGUAUCAACGUUAGAUUCUCCUAACAUCAGGCACUGUGAAGCAGCAGCAACAACCUAGCAACAAACCUUCCCAAUCCACAACUUUCAGUCCACAUUAUUUUUUAUUGUGCACUUCAAGCAAUACCUCCCAGAAACAAACACCCUGAUUUAACCCAAUCACAAGACAAUUUACAAUGACCAAUUACCCUACCAACUGGUACGUCUUUGGACUGUGGGAGGAAAGCAGAACACACAGAAGAAACUCAUGCAGCCAAGUGGAGAACGUACAAACUCCUUGCACAGUGGCCUUUGUAAACACUGCCAGUUAAAGAAAUGGUUUGCAAUGAGACGUACUUCCAGUCCAUAACAUAAAGCUGUAGUCAGCAAUAGCUACCCUUCUCUUAGCCCAAUGGAGCUAUUGGAGAGAGAAAGCACCACAAAACUGCCUUCGAUCUUCAUCAUUUAACAGGACUAAACAAAACAAAUGCUGUUGUUACAGUGUGGGAAUAAUUUUCUGCUGUCAGGAGACAACACUUUCUGACUAUAUUUGGUGCUUUGUGUUGUGCUUUUCACAUGGUUUUCACAGAUUAGAUUCACCAACAUUAAAACUACUACAGCAUCACCAUGUUGCUUCACUAUUAGAUCAAUGUCUUGUUUUUGCAAGUUCCUCCAUUUAUAAUCUUGAGAAAAUCUGCUGCAAAUUGCAAACACUUACAACUUUCUAUAUCUAGGGAAAUUAGACUUAAAUUAAUGGAUGAGGCAAAAUAUUAAAAUAAUCUAACUAAUAUAUUUAACCACUCAGGACAUGCUCUUUUUUCGCUGCUGCCAUCAGGAAGAAGGUACAGGAGCCUCAGGACUCCCACCACCAGGUUCAGGAACAGUUACUAUCCCUCAACCAUCAGGCUCUUGAACCAAAGGGGAAUAACUUCACUCAACUUCACUUGCCCCAUCACGGAAAACUUCCCACGACCUAUGGACUCACUUUCAACAUAGAAAUUUACAGCACAUCACAGGCCCUUUGGCAACGAUGUAACCUACUCUAGAAACUGCCUAGAAUUUCUCUAUUGCAUAGCUCUCUAAGCUCCAUAUACCUAUCUAAGAGUCUCUUAAAAAGACCCUAUUGUAUCUGCCUCUAUCACAAUCGCUGGAGAUGCAUUCUAUGCCCCCAGCACUCUCUGUGUGAAAAGGACUCUUCAUCUAAUGUUCUCAAUAUUUCUUACUUAUUUAUUUAUUAUUUCUAUUUUUUUUUGUAUUUCCACAGUUUUGUUUUGAACACCAGAGCUGGUGCCAUCUUUCAUUGAUAUUAUUAUUCUAAUAUGGAUUUACUGAGUAUGCCCACAAGAAAAUGAACCUCAGGGUUAUAUACAGUGUAAUAUUUGUACUUUGCUAAUGAAAUUUACUUUGAACUUUGAAGCAUGUAGACCAAUUGAAGGUAGAAAGUAUUAAACAGGAUGCCAUUUAACCCAUUGCAUUCCUGAUUGCCUUUCAGAACUACUUCCCACUGUGUAAGAUUUCACUCUCCUUUUUUGACUUCAAUGCUUCAAAUGUUGAGCUACUUUUGUUUUAGAAGCAUCAAUGGAGUCUCGAACAACAUUAUUUCUGAAUGUACUUUUUAUUGUCCCAACACUCUGUAUGAAAGAAUUUGGUGUUAUGAUAUUCAAUUUUUUAUGCAGUGAAGAUAGUUUCUCAAUAUACACCUCAACACACCAGUAUCUAACUUCGAAUGUCAUUAAUGGACCUUUUAAUAAUUGUACAUUUAAUUAAAACAAUGAUGAUCACCUGCAGACUCAGAGUAUGCAAGGACUUUGUCAGGAUUUUUAAAAGAUCCAUUUACCUCAGUUUGUGGACAAGUUUUAUUAAUAAGAUUGAGAGUCAUAGAGCACAAAACAGGUCCACACUGACCAUCAAACACCCACUUAUACAAAUUCCAUUUUAUUCAACAUUUCUUCUGAUAUACCCUGACAAACCGCUUUUUGCUUAAGCCCAUUUGUUGUUAGAAGUGAAUGGAGUAUUGUAUGAUGUAGACAUUCCUUAAAAUAUAAAUGAGUUAUGAAUUUGAAUUUUAACACCACUGACUCGUUAGGGUGCAUGUCUCUGAACAAAAAAGUUCAUAGUCUCUAGCUGAAUUGUCAGUGUAGUAACAGACCCAAAGGAAACACCCCUCACCUCUUAGUGCCUAAAACUUACAGGACAGUUAAUGCACAACUGUACAAUACUGAAUUAUUUCAUCAUUCAGGAAAAUGUAAAAGUUGCUGUAAUCUUGCACUAGAAUACAUACUUAAACAAAAUUAACGGCAUUCUUUUAUUUGUUGCACAAGCCAGCCCACCUGCUAAUGCAGAUGUAUAUCAGAAAAAUAGGGAGCAAUUCUUUAUAUCUUAAAAUAUACUUUAUCAAUUAGAACAAUUGAGGCAAGCUGCAUGUUUACUUAAAAGUCAGAAUCUGUUGCUGAGAAGAACUUUGCCUGGGCAAUAUAAAAGAUUUCACUGCCUAAAUGUAGAAUUUUAAUAACAGAUUUUAAUGAAGUUUGCAAUGAUAUAAAAACAGCCAUGUGCAAUGAUACAAAAGCCAACCAGGGAAUGCAAACAUCUCAAUUCAAUUUGGACUUUUAGUUGUCACUGCUUUAACCAAUUUAAAUAUAACCAGUAUUAAGUUUGGUAUAGAUUAGAUAAAGCCUAACUCAGAAUUUAGAGAAAUAUCAUGUCUUGAGGUAUAUGCU